CCCAGACUCCUACGGGAGGCAGCAGUGGGGGAUAUUGCACAAUGGGGGAAACCCUGAUGCAGCGACGCCGCGUGAGUGAAGAAGUAUUUCGGUAUGUAAAGCUCUAUCAGCAGGGAAGAAAGAAGACGGUACCUGACUAAGAAGCCCCGGCUAACUACGUGCCAGCAGCCGCGGUAAUACGUAGGGGGCAAGCGUUAUCCGGAUUUACUGGGUGUAAAGGGAGCGUAGACGGCAAUACAAGUCGGAAGUGAAAUACCCGGGCUCAACCUGGGAACUGCUUUGGAAACUGUAUGGCUGGAGUGCUGGAGAGGUAAGCGGAAUUCCUAGUGUAGCGGUGAAAUGCGUAGAUAUUAGGAGGAACACCAGUGGCGAAGGCGGCUUACUGGACAGUAACUGACGUUGAGGCUCGAAAGCGUGGGGAGCAAACAGGAUUAGAUACCCCUGUACG
rnacentral:rRNA from 1 species